UGAGUCGGCCGGGCGGCCGCGGCGUCCACCGCGAGGUGUGGCGUCGAGGAAAGUCCGGACUCCGUAGAGCGACGGUGGUGGCCAACAGCCACCCACGGCGACGUGCGGGACAGUGCCACAGAAAACAAACCGCCAGCGGCCUUCGGCCGACCGGCAGCGAGCUUGUCUCGCCGACGGAGAAGUCGAAGGUGCGGGUAAGGGUGAAACGGUGAGGUAAGAGCUCACCAGCGUUCCGGGUGACCGGAGCGGCUAGGUAAACCCCACCGGGAGCAAGACCAAGAGGACCUUCGGGUCUGCGCUGACGGGCUGCUCGUCCAAUGUCAGCGGGUAGGUCGCACGAGGCGUCCAGCAAUGGGCGUCCCAGAUGGAUGGUCGCCCGGGCUUCGGCCCGACAGGAUCCGGCUUACAGGCCGGCUCAUUCG
rnacentral:RNase_P_RNA from 1 species